rnacentral:rRNA from 1 species
CGCGGCCUAUCAGCUUGUUGGUGGGGUAAUGGCUUACCAAGGCUUUGACGGGUAACCGGCCUGAGAGGGUGACCGGUCACAUUGGGACUGAGAUACGGCCCAGACUCCUACGGGAGGCAGCAGUGGGGAAUAUUGCACAAUGGACGAAAGUCUGAUGCAGCGACGCCGCGUGAGGGAUGAAGGCCUUCGGGUUGUAAACCUUUUUCGCUUUUGACCAAGGCAGCAUUUUGGUGUUGUUGAGGGUAUGAGGUAAAGAAGCUCCGGCUAACUACGUGCCAGCAGCCGCGGUAAUACGUAGGGAGCGAGCGUUGUCCGGAUUUAUUGGGCGUAAAGGGCUUGUAGGUGGCUUGUCGCGUCUGCCGUGAAAUUCCGCAGCUUAACUGUGGUAGUGCGGUGGGUACGGGCAGGCUUGAGUGUGGUAGGGGAGACUGGAAUUCCUGGUGUAGCGGUGGAAUGCGCAGAUAUCAGGAGGAACACCGGUGGCGAAGGCGGGUCUCUGGGCCAUUACUGACGCUGAGGAGCGAAAGCGUGGGGAGCGAACAGGAUUAGAUACCCUGGUAGUCCACGCUGUAAACGUUGGGAACUAGGUGUGGGGCCUGUCAUGGGUUCUGCGCCGGCGCUAACGC